rnacentral:rRNA from 1 species
UUCUGGUUGAUCCUGCCGGAGGCUAUUGCUAUCGGUGUCCGAUUUAGCCAUGCGAGUUGCACGUUUAACGUAGCAAACUGCUCAGUAACACGUGGCCAAACUGCCCUAUGGACUGGGAUAACCUCGGGAAACUGAGGCUAAUCCCGGAUAGCACAUCCGUCCUGGAACUGGAGGAUGUGUGAAACGUUCCGGCGCCAUAGGAUGUGGCUGCGGCCGAUUAGGUAGACGGUGGGGUAACGGCCCACCGUGCCGAUAAUCGGUACGGGUCAUGAGAGUGAGAGCCCGGAGACGGACUCUGAGACACGAGUCCGGGCCCUACGGGGCGCAGCAGGCGCGAAACCUUUACACUGCACGAUAGUGCGAUAGGGGGACACCGAGUGCGAGGGCAUAGAGCCCUCGCUUUUGUAGACCGUAAGGAGGUCUACGAAUAAGGGCUGGGCAAGACCGGUGCCAGCCGCCGCGGUAACACCGGCAGCCCGAGUGAUGGCCGAUAUUAUUGGGCCUAAAGCGUCCGUAGCUGGCCGCGCAAGUUCGUCGGGAAAUCCACUCGCUUAACGAGUGGGCGUCCGGCGAAAACUGUGC